UACGAAGGGUGCAAGCGUUUAAUCGGAAUUACUGGGCGUAAAGCGUGCGUAGGCGGUGAGUUAAGUCUGUCGUGAAAUCCCCGGGCUCAACCUGGGAAUGGCGAUGGAUACUGGCUCGCUAGAGUGUGAUAGAGGAUGGUGGAAUUCCCGGUGUAGCGGUGAAAUGCGUAGAGAUCGGGAGGAACAUCAGUGGCGAAGGCGGCCAUCUGGAUCAACACUGACGCUGAGGCACGGAAAAGCGUGGGGGAGCAAACAGGG
rnacentral:rRNA from 1 species